ensembl:Mt_tRNA
GUCUUUGUAGUAUAACAAAAUACCUCGGUCUUGUAAACCGGAAAAGGAGAACCCCAUUCCUCCCUAAGACU